rnacentral:rRNA from 1 species
CGGACGGGUGAGUAACGCGUGGGUAACUUGCCUCAUACAGGGGGAUAACAGUUAGAAAUGGCUGCUAAUACCGCAUAAGACCACAGCACCGCAUGGUGCAGGGGUAAAAACUCCGGUGGUAUGAGAUGGACCCGCGUCUGAUUAGCUGGUUGGUGGGGUAACGGCCUACCAAGGCGACGAUCAGUAGCCGACCUGAGAGGGUGACCGGCCACAUUGGGACUGAGACACGGCCCAA